UUGGCUGGGGGCGGCACAUCUGUAAAACCAUAACGCAGGUGUCCUCCAGGGGACUCAUGGCAGAACAGAAACCUCCAGUAGAACCAGAAGGGCAAAAGUCCCCUUUUGGUUCUGAUUUUCAGUGUGAAUCUCCGUACAAAGAAUGACAGUCCCUCAAAAUUGGAGGC
rnacentral:ncRNA from 1 species